GUUCACGUGACGGAGUUGGUCUAACGUGCUGGAUUAAGGCUCCAGUCUCCUCGGAGGCGCGCGUUCGAAUCGCGUCGUGGAUA